GAACUGUCCAAUCGCAAUUAAAUAGGGAGUAAAUCUGAACAGUUCAUCACGAUUCAAUCUGAACUGUCCAUCGCAAUUUAAUCUGGACCAUCCGAUCGCGUUUAAAUCUGGUCAUCCGAUCGCGUUUGGAGAGAGAAUGCAUCUGAGCCGUCCGUGUGCGCGGGAAUGAAUUUGGACCGUUCGAUUACGGGUACACGGAUCACCCGCGUGGCACUGCGUCAGCGUCCGCUGCCAUAUAGCGCGUGCUGAU
rnacentral:lncRNA from 1 species